rnacentral:tRNA from 1 species
CCCGAAUAUGAAGCGAUAUAUUGCAUUUAGUUUCGACCUAAUCUUAGGUAAUUUUA